GAUGAACGCUAGCGGCAGGCUUCAUACAUGCAAGUCGAGGGGCAGCAUAAAUUACUUGUAAUUUGAUGGCGACCGGCGAACGGGUGCGUAACGCGUAUGCAACUUACCUUUUACUAGAGAAUAGCCAAGAGAAAUUUUGAUUAAUGCUCUAUGUUCUUAUUUACUCGCAUGAGUAGAUAAGCAAAGCUCCGAAGAUAAAAGAUGGGCAUGCGUCCUAUUAGCUUGUAGGUGAGGUAAUGGCUCACCUAAGCUCCGAUAGGUAGGGGUCCUGAGAGGGAGAUCCCCCACACUGGUACUGAGACACGGACCAGACUUCUACGGAAGGCAGCAGUAAGGAAUAUUGGACAAUGGAGGCAACUCUGAUCCAGCCAUGCCGCGUGAAGGAAGACGGCCUUAUGGGUUGUAAACUUCUUUUAUACAGGAAGAAACCUUUCCACGUGUGGAAAGCUGACGGUACUGUAAGAAUAAGGAUCGGCUAACUCCGUGCCAGCAGA
rnacentral:rRNA from 1 species